UCCCCCCCUCUCACACCUUGCUGCCGCCGCCGCCAGCCAGCCUCUUUCCGUGCCGCCGUCGUGCCACCGCCACCUCCGGUGGCGUUCCUUCCUCCCCCUCAUCUCUCUUCCUCCCUUCUCUCCCUCUUUCUCUAUCUUCCUCUCAAGCCUCACGCCGCCGUCCUCCCUUCUCUCCCGAUCUGCCGCCGUCGCCGCGGAUCCCCUCCGUCGCCUCCUUCCUCUCCCCCUCUUUCUUUCUCUCCCUCGGCUCCCUCUUUCUCUCCCGGAUCUGCCGCCGCCGCCGUUCUCACAGCAGGAGUCGCGGCUGCUCUUCGAGCUGCCGCCAUCAGCAGCUCGCACCAGCCAGCGAGCGCCGUCUCUGUCGCUGCUUCUCGCCGUCGACCACCGCCACAGCCGAGACCCCUCCCCCGUCCCCGACGCCGAUUCCCGACAGAUUUUAAAGGAAUGAAAACAUCGGAGCGUUGGUUGUCGAUUGUCGGCGACGGAGUGCCGAGCUUGCUGCCGGAAGUCCGGGAGAUUCAUCUCCUAAGAUAAGUAUUUCUAACUGCCCUAUGUUAUUUCUAUCAUUCAACAGUUUGGGGAAAAUAAUUGGUUUUAGCAUGCUACUUGUAAGUGUUGGGUGAAUUUUGAAGUCCCUGAUGUAAUAUGUGGUACAGUGGCCUAGCAUGUUUCUAUUCUCAUUCCUACUGUAAUUUGAUGUAUAUGCAUAAAGAAAAAAAUGAAAGGAGGUAUGGGGUUACCUUUUUAUGUGGGGACGAGGUGUUGUUGGAUUAGGGACUUGAUUCUACAAGUGUGUGCAAAUCUUCCUCCUUGGACUCCUCUGUUCGACGUGGAAUUGGAGUGGCAGAGGAAAUAGUAUGUGGGGUGUGUGAAGGGAUUAUGUGGGGUUUGUGAAGGGAUGAUUAGGAUAUAUGAUGGUGAUGUUUUAUGGUGAAAGAAAGUGCAUGUACCGAUUUAUAUAAGAUGGCAAAUGAUGUAACUUGCAAGUAUUAUUGCAAAGAAUAAUUACCAUGUGUCAGAUGAUGAAGAAUUUUUCCACACUUCAUUAAUGCAGCCUUCAUUAUGUCUAUUACUCAUCAAGGCAGCAUUUAAUGCUGCCAUGACUAUGGUCCUUCUCGGAUAUGCUAGAAAAAUAAUAAUUAUUAAUAUAUAUAUUUUUUUAUAUUAAUUAUUUGAGUAUUUGCUUACUUAAUCAUUUAAUUUGGUGUAGGUAUAAUUUGUCCAAGUUCGUGGCCCUCCGCGUUGAAGUAUCCGUUUUCUUAAAGCAUACGACGUAUAAAUUAAAUUUUGUUGGACUUUUGUUGGAUGUAUCAAUCAUUAAAAUUUUGAUUAUGGGACUUUAUUUAUUUACUUAAAUUUAUUAUAUUCAUAUAGGUGUAAUAUA